GCUGCCUGCGGGCCGGCGGCUGGCCGGGAGCUCGGCGUGGCCCGUGCCGGUCGGGGGAUCCCGUCGCAGGUGGGCAGGGACGGAGUGAGCCGCACCACUGCCGGCCCGACGCCCAUCCCCAGAGCUCCGCGCCCCUGGAGGCCUCCUCCUCCCUCUCCGGGCCGGGUUGGGGUCCUCCUGGAAGUCCUGCCCCGCUCCCUUCUCCAAAUCCGCAGGGCCCUGGCUCUAGGGAGACAGCGAGGCUCGUACAGAAUAUGUGCAAAUGGUUUCUACAAGCAGAGUCGAAAGACACCCGUUUGCUGUAGGGUCCUUUUGGUGAGGGCGCGCGGGAAGCCGGGGUGCUCUCCCCGCGGAGGCGCGGCCGGGCCCGGGGCCUGCGAGCUGGGAGAGGGCAGGCGCCUUCCUCGCGCCCCGGGACCCUCGCCGCCUCCUCUCCCCGCCUCUGCAGACGCAGCCGGGCGCCUUCCUCCCGGAGGGCGGCUCGCGCACCCAGGCUCCGCGUCUGGUCCCAACAGAAAUGAAUGAAGACGCUGUUCCGGUUAACUCCAGGUCACGAGAACAGUGAGGCACUUCUGAAACGAACCCAUUAGGAACAUUGAAACAAAUAAAAAAAAGCCCGCAUCUGGCAGCGCCCACUACAGGCUGCUGACGUAGACCCUGCUGUCCUGGAGCUCCUCCUCACUCGGUCGACCCCGCGCGCGCACACAGCCCGCGUCCUCUUCGCCCCCGGCUCGGUCCUGCCCCGCGUCCCUGCAGUUCACAAAGGAGAAACCAUUCUCCCUGGUGAAACUGCUGAGACAGGCCCACUGCCCAUUGCCUGCUGCUGCCUUUCCAGGGGUGAGGUAUCUGUGCAAACACGGCGCAUGCCCCUGCCUUGCUUCUGCUGGGAAGGGCCAGCAGGUGACCCUUAAGCUUCUCUGUCCUCCCUACCGGCUGCUUAGUGCCUGGCUAUGGGAAAAUCGGCUCCUGAGCCAGCGGGUCGGGGGAAGCUGAGUGCAGCCUGGCACUCGCUCCUUUCAGGCAUCUGUUUGUCUUGCUCCUUGCCCACGCCACUCAUUCUCUCCUUGCCCUGCUUAGUUUUUCUUUGGCACUCCUGACCUUCCUGAUGUGUUAUAUAUGUAUGUGUUUAUUAUCUGUCUCUCCUCACCAUGAUGUGAGCUCAUGAGAGCAGAAGCUCUGUUUCUCAGCUGUGUCCCUGUACCUAGAACAGGGCCUGCACAUGGUAGGCGCUCAGGGAAGGUCUGUGAAAUGAAUGCAGGAUGAUCGAGGCCACAGGAAUACCAGACUUUGAGAGGUAAACCUUGGAAGCCACCUGGUUUAACGCCCCACCUCCUGCACCACAGCCUGACGCCCGGAUGAGCACAGUCUCUGCUUGGCUAUGUCUGAUGAUGGGGGGCUCACUACCUUUCAGGCAAGCCCCUCUCAUCUUGGAAGAGCUCAUUUGGGAAGGUCUUCCCCAUGUGAGCUGAAAUCUGUCCGCUGGUGGGCUGAGCCUGCCACCCUUUCCCCAUCCCACCCGUUGCAGGUGUGAGAGGUGUAUCGCACCCUCCAAAGUCACCUCCUCUCCAGGUUUUCUUCCCGAAUUCCCUGAAACGGUUCUCCUAGGAAAUGGUUUCUAGGAACCUUGCCAUCCUGGUCAUCCUCUGUUGGGUUUGUUCCAGUGUGUCAAAGGUCCCUAAUAAUGUGGUGCCGGGAUUGCACUAGAUGCUCUGACCAGGCAGAGCACAGUGGGACUGAAAGCUCGCUUGUUCUAGGCUAGUGGCUCUCAACCUUGCUACACGUUAAAAUCAUCGAAGAGCUUUAACAAUCAUCAGUUAAUCUGUCCCGGGUUUCCAAAGCUCCCCAGGUGAUGCUCACGGGCAGUCAGGCCUGAGCACCUUGGAUCUUGCCUGUCUGUGUAUAAAGGCAGCCAGGCUCACAUUUGCAUGUCGAGCAGCUGCAGUAUAAGGGAUAAGUUGCUCAGUGGUUUCUGCCGCCCUCUGCAGUGGGCCCAGCCUCAAGAGAGCCCAUAGCAUCUUGUGCAGUCAUGGCUUUCCGCACACGAGCCCUCCUGCAGCCCUGAGAGGGAGGGUCUUUCGGGCUCAGAUAUUGACUGCAAUGAAUUUGGCAAGAGCCAGGUGCUCCCUUCUCAGCCCCGCAUGCCAAGUCCCCUUGUUGCCCGUGGCCUCUCCCCCCUGCCCAUCUGCGAGUCACCUACCGCUUCCACCAGGCUGCUGGCACUGCCGUGGAACUGCCUCCCUGGGGCCCCAGCCUGGCUGGGCACCAUGAGGGAGACGGGCCGGACUCUCCGGGCGGCGCUGCUGCCCCCGCCACCGGGGGUGGUCUCAGCCCAGGAGCCGCAGUGGAUGGAUGGGAAGCUGCUGUUGAGUUUCUCACUGGACUCGACCCCCUCAAGCCGCAGGGUGGGGACGGGCUGUGGGGGCCAGCCUCGGCUGCCAGGUGUGGCUGGUGGGGUGGCAAAAGGCCUAGGGAAUGAGGCAGGGGAAUGGCUUCUCUGGAGGAGGGGGCUCAGGCCUGCCACUGCCAAUGCCUGCGGACACACAAGGAGUGUGAGUUAAUAGGAGUGGCCGACCCCAAACAAGGCAGGCCCCUGCUUCUGAGCAAGCACUGCUUUGCAGCUGCUGUGUCCAGCUAGCUCCACCUGCCUGGUAUUCCCAUGCCAUUAUUUUCCCCUGUCGGUCCUAUCUCAACCUGGCAUGACUUUCAACUAUCUCAAAAUACAUCUUAGGAUCAUCUGGGUCUGAAGUGAUCUCUUUCUCCUGUAACUUCUGAAAGCUGGGAUUGGGUGAAGUCGUGGUAACCUGCUUUUAGCCCUGGCCUGGUCACCUGUCAGCUGUGCAUUCUCUCGCUCUUGGUUUUGUCCUCAAUAGAAUGGAGAGCAGGGUGAGGCCUGCAUGUCUGUAAAGCCAGAAAACGAAUGCUGUCUAUCCAUCUGCCCUGUGGGGCUGGUGUGAGGCUCAAGCGCAAUGAGGUCUGUGAAGAAGCGCUGUGCACCUCACAAAGAGUUGGGAAAACCAGUAUUUGUGGUUUUAGUUCUCACAGUUAAUGGGGCCAUUCAUAAUGCCCUGCCAGUCUCUAGCUCAGGUUGUCUUUGAGCCAUUGUUAAAUCCGGUGCUGUAUUGUGAUUAAAAGAUUCAGGGCUGGGAGCAGUGGCUCAUGCCUGUAAUCCCAGGACUUUGGGAGGCCAAGGCGGGCAGAUCACCUGAGGUCGGGAGUUCAAGACCAGCCUGACCAACACGGAGUAACCCAGUCUCUACUACAAAUGCAAAAUU
rnacentral:lncRNA from 1 species